UCUCCUUAGUUCCAGGUUGCUUCUCUCCUUGAUUAGGCUCCAUCCGUUGCUUCUUGUCCUGCCUUCUGGUGCUUUGGAGAAUAGGGUGAUUCUACUACCUUCUUUUUGGCAGUCCCUGAGAUAUCGGAACACUGCUAUCAUGUCAACCUUAGUCCUUCUUUUCACUAGACUAGAGUAGACAAACCCAAUUUUUGCAACUCUUCUUUGUAUGUUUUAGCCUCCAGCCCCUAAUCAUUUUUGUUGCUCUUCUCUGCACUUUUUCUAGAGUCUCAACAUCUUUUUUAUAUUGAGGUGACCAAAAUUGGGACAAGAGUUCACAAACUUGAGAUGCGGGAGAAAGAAACUCCUCAUAACCCCGCCUCGAUUCGGUUAUAUAUAAAUGAGGCCAAGAGAAACUUGGCUAGGUGUUCAAAACCCUGUUAUUCUUCCUUGCCCCAAUAUAGAAUAGAUUCCUGAAUCCUUGCUCUGCCAGUUCCUUGGCCUUCCCUGGUUUGAAGGGAUGGCCUAAUCUCGGUAGUCUGUUGAAGUUUCUCUCUGCGUCACCUACGACUAAAUGAAAUCAAGGCGGGGUUAUUUUGACUUUCUUUCCCCUUUCUUAGCACUUAUGACUUACUUCUUCCUUGCCCACGUUGCUUCAUCCCGAAACUCUUCUAGAAAUUAUUCUGCUCAAAAACUGUAAUUGCUCACUUUGUUGGAACUUUGAGUUGCAAACAUACCAUCUCUGAUUUUGGUCUGUGAGCAGAAAGCCAGUGGUGGGGACACACAAUAGAACCACAACUAAUGUGGAUGCAGCUUAAACUCAGUUUGUGUUCAUCAGCACCUUCUCUUACUUGGGUAAACCAAUGGGAGCUUACUUUCCAUCUUCUCCUUAAGAGAAAACAAAUCAAUAAGUCAAUUCCCUUAAAGGGACGGUGUGUUCAAAAACUAAUUGGUUGGUGUUAACCUUGCUUGUUGUCAUUUUUUUUUUUGUCAUUAAGCAUGCAGUUCAUUUGUGGGCCAACUAAGAAUUUGAGUUAAUUCUGGAGGAGGAUCCAGCGUGUUGUGCAAAUGCAGCCAUGCUUAAGGCAGAAAAACGGAUGUGCCUUCUCCCACAGACUCCACCACAUUGAGAAGAUCUCCAUCCAUGCUGAUGGCCUCAUCAUCUCCCCUCCCCAAAUUGUGCUCCAAAGGAAGUUGCUGGAAUUGCAUCCCCUUGACGUCAAACAAGCAGCCACCCCUUCUUUUACAAGAGCUCUGGGUCUGCCCACCCUUUGGUGGAUCAUUGCUUGAGCUGAUGCACCCAGACUCAGAUGGUUUGGUUCAUGAAGACUGGUUGGUAAUGUUUCUUUCCAGAAUGGGGGGGGGUGUUCCGCUUUGCGUUUGGCAAGAUCUGGAUUGGCAGCAUAUUUUGAAGGACGAGGGGGCAGAGGCUCACCCCACUACAGGAGUCUGGAAGGGCCAGUCUUGAUUCACCCGCCACUCACCAACCGUGGACCCACCUGGAGAAGCCAUCUCUGAGUCAUCUGGCAACCCUUCCAGGUUCUUGUUCUCUCUACCCUUUAGGCACUCUUUGUCGUCUAAGAUACACAAGCCCCCUGGCUAACUGGAUUCGGUGCCUCUAGUUGUGUGCCCCAAGCCGAGAACUCAGCCCUCUUAUGGCUUUCCAUAAUUCAUGCCUGAAUGUUAUAAAUAGAAAAGGAAGGAUUUAAACAUUUAUGUCUUGCUUUCUGGGAAAAAGUCACAUUCAUGAGAGCUCACACGGGGAAAUAUAAAUCGGGGAAAAAAGAGAAGAACUGCGAAGGAAAGGAGCAGCAUUAACGCUAACGCAGUAUCCUAAAACUGCAUCAUGAAAAAAAGGGCAAGCUGGUGCAAACCUCACCACGGAUGUCCUUUGCAGGGCUUUGGGACCACGCGUUUCUUCUGUGGCAGAGCUGCUGAACAGUUGAAGCCUACGUUGCCAGCUCCCUGGAGGGAUUCCUUUCCUCGCCAUCCAUCUGGGGGAUCUCACCUUAUUUCUGCUGACCCGACGUUGGGAUUGCUUGAGGAAAUCCAGCGUACCCGGACGCCGGACCCCGAGACGUUUUUCUGCAGGACGCUCUGGGAGGCACUGCAGCGGACCAG